CCGGGAAUGGCUUCUGGUUUGGCAAUGCAACAUUUAGAUUGUAACAGUUUUUUUGGUGUCUGUUGUUUUGUGAUUUUUGUGAAAGAUCCAGUUUAAGGAGCUGUGGUGAUAAAAUUUUCCAACACAAAAGAAAAAGACAUGGAAGCAAUAAUCAAAGACUGGCUGAAGUCUUCAAAAAUUCGGUUUACCAGCAAUAAGAAAUAAAUGUUCAAACACCGGAUCCUGGAGGAAAAUCUGAAUGCUUCAAAAAUUGUGAUUGAAUUGAGGUGCAGUAAGGGAAUAAAGUAAUCUGGAGCACCACAAUAAGGACCUUUCUUCAUAGAUAAAUGACAUGCAUAUGAGUUAUUUUAAUAAACAACUUUUCACAUUAUUUAUGUCUUAUCUAUUU